GAACGGGGAUCAGCCCAUUAAGUUAUGUGUGUUUUAGUGGAACGCUCUGGGAAGUGCGAACGUAGAGGGUGAUAUUCCCGUACACGAAAGGGCACACAUAAUGAUGACGAGUAGGGCGAGGCACGUGAAACCUUGUCUGAAUAUGGGGGGACCAUCCUCCAAGGCUAAAUACUCCUGACUGACCGAUAGUGAACCAGUACCGUGAGGGAAAGGCGAAAAGAACCCCUGUGAGGGGAGUGAAAUAGAUCCUGAAACCGCAUGCAUACAAGCAGUGGGAGCACCUUCGUGGUGUGACUGCGUACCUUUUGUAUAAUGGGUCAGCGACUUAUAUUCAGUAGCAAGGUUAACCGUAUAGGGGAGCCGUAGAGAAAUCGAGUCUUAAUAGGGCGUUUAGUUGCUGGGUAUAGACCCGAAACCAGGCGAUCUAUCCAUGAGCAGGUUGAAGGUUGGGUAACACUAACUGGAGGACCGAACCCACUGUCGUUGAAAAGCCAGGGGAUGACUUGUGGAUAGGGGUGAAAGGCUAAUCAAGCCUGGUGAUAGCUGGUUCUCCCCGAAAGCUAUUUAGGUAGCGCCUCGGACGAAUACCAUAGGGGGUAGAGCACUGUUUCGGCUAGGGGGUCAUCCCGACUUACCAAACCGAUGCAAACUCCGAAUACCUAUGAGUACUAUCCGGGAGACAGACUGCGGGUGCUAACGUCCGUAGUCAAGAGGAAAACAAUCCAGACCGCCAGCUAAGGCCCCAAAAUCAUAGUUAAGUGGGAAACGAUGUGGGAAGGCAUAGACAGCUAGGAGGUUGGCUUAGAAGCAGCCACCCUUUAAAGAAAGCGUAAUAGCUCACUAGUCGAGUCGGCCUGCGCGGAAGAUGUAACGGGGCUAAAACUAUGUGCCGAAGCUGCGGAU
rnacentral:rRNA from 1 species